rnacentral:rRNA from 1 species
GGGGAAUAUUGGGCAAUGGACGCAAGUCUGACCCAGCAACGCCGCGUGAAGGAAGAAGGCUUUCGGGUUGUAAACUUCUUUUAAGGGGGAAGAGUAGAAGACGGUACCCCUUGAAUAAGCCACGGCUAACUACGUGCCAGCAGCCGCGGUAAUACGUAGGUGGCAAGCGUUGUCCGGAUUUACUGGGUGUAAAGGGUGCGCAGGCGGGAUUUUAAGUCAGCGGUGAAAUUUUCAGGCUCAACCUGAACACUGCCGUUGAAACUGGGAUUCUUGAGUAUGGAUGAAGUAGGCGGAAUUCGUUGUGUAGCGGUGACAUGCUUAGAUAUAACGAGGAACUCCGAUUGCGUAGGCAGCUUACUAAGCCAUAACUGACGCUCAAGCACGAAAGCGUGGGGAUCAAACA